rnacentral:rRNA from 1 species
CGGGUGACGAGCGGCGGACGGGUGAGUAAUGUCUGGGAAACUGCCUGAUGGAGGGGGAUAACUACUGGAAACGGUAGCUAAUACCGCAUAACGUCGCAAGACCAAAGUGGGGGACCUUCGGGCCUCAUGCCAUCAGAUGUGCCCAGAUGGGAUUAGCUAGUAGGUGGGGUAAUGGCUCACCUAGGCGACGAUCCCUAGCUGGUCUGAGAGGAUGACCAGCCACACUGGAACUGAGACACGGUCCAGACUCCUACGGGAGGCAGCAGUGGGGAAUAUUGCACAAUGGGCGCAAGCCUGAUGCAGCCAUGCCGCGUGUAUGAAGAAGGCCUUCGGGUUGUAAAGUACUUUCAGCGAGGAGGAAGGCGUUAAGGUUAAUAACCUUGGCGAUUGACGUUACUCGCAGAAGAAGCACCGGCUAACUCCGUGCCAGCAGCCGCGGUAAUACGGAGGGUGCAAGCGUUAAUCGGAAUUACUGGGCGUAAAGCGCACGCAGGCGGUCUGUCAAGUCGGAUGUGAAAUCCCCGGGCUCAACCUGGGAACUGCAUUCGAAACUGGCAGGCUAGAGUCUUGUAGAGGGGGGUAGAAUUCCAGGUGUAGCGGUGAAAUGCGUAGAGAUCUGGAGGAAUACCGGUGGCGAAGGC